UAACACAUGCAAGCCGAGCGGUAGAGAUUCUUCGGAAUCUUGAGAGCGGCGUACGGGUGCGGAACACGUGUGACACCUACUUUAUCUGGAGGAUAGCCUUUCGAAAGGAAGAUUAAUACUCCAUAAUAUAUUGAUUGGCAUCAAUUGAUAUUGAAAGCUCCGGCGGAUAGAGAUGGGCACGCGCAAGAUUAGUUAGUUGGUGAGGUAACGGCUCACCAAGACGAUGAUCUUUAGGGGCCUGAGAGGGUGAUCCCCCACACUGGUACUGAGACACGGACCAGACUCCUACGGGAGGCAGCAGUGAGGAAUAUUGGUCAAUGGGUGCAAGCCUGAACCAGCCAUCCCGCGUGAAGGACGACUGCCCUAUGGGUUGUUAAACUUCUUUUGUAUAGGGAUAAACCUACCCUCGUGAGGGUAGCUGAAGGUACUAUGCGAAUAAGCACCGGCUAACUCCGUG
rnacentral:rRNA from 1 species